rnacentral:rRNA from 1 species
AGCGAACGCUGGCGGCAGGCUUAACACAUGCAAGUCGAGCGGGCACUUUCGGGUGUCAGCGGCGGACGGGUGAGUAACGCGUGGGAACGUGCCCUCUGGUUCGGAAUAACUCAGGGAAACUUGAGCUAAUACCGGAUACGCCCUUUUGGGGAAAGGCUUGCUGCCGGAGGAUCGGCCCGCGUCUGAUUAGCUAGUUGGUGAGGUAACGGCUCACCAAGGCGACGAUCAGUAGCUGGUCUGAGAGGAUGAUCAGCCACACUGGGACUGAGACACGGCCCAGACUCCUACGGGAGGCAGCAGUGGGGAAUAUUGGACAAUGGGCGCAAGCCUGAUCCAGCCAUGCCGCGUGAGUGAUGAAGGCCUUAGGGUUGUAAAGCUCUUUUAUCCGGGACGAUAAUGACGGUACCGGAGGAAUAAGCCCCUGCUAACUUCGUG